CUGGCUCAGAACGAACGCGUGGCGGCGUGGAUUAGGCAUGCAAGUCGAACGGGAGUUACUUGUAGCAAUACUUUGUAAAGUCUAGUAGGCGUAAGGGUGAGUAACACGUGGGUAAUGUACCCGAUAGUUUGGGAUAACGUUCCGAAAGGGACGCUAAUACCGGAUGUGAUGUUAGACCGCCGGGUCUAACAAGAAAGGUGGGGACCGCAAGGCCUGCCGCUAACGGAACGGCCCGCGACCUAUUAGCUAGUUGGUGGGGUAAAAGGCCUACCAAGGCGCGGAUGGGUAGCCGAACUGAGAGGUUGACCGGCCACACUGGGACUGAGACACUGCCCAGACUUCUACGGAAGGCUGCAGUCGAGAAUCAUUCACAAUGGACGAAAGUCUGAUGAUGCGACGCCGCGUGCGCGAUGAAGGUCUUCGGAUUGUAAAGCGCUUUGAACAGGGAAGAAUGCCAUGUAUUUAAUAGAUAACAUGGAGGGACAGUACCUGACAAACAAGCCCCGGCUAAUUUCGUGCCAGCAGCGGC
rnacentral:rRNA from 1 species